rnacentral:rRNA from 1 species
AUUGAACGCUGGCGGCAUGCUUUACACAUGCAAGUCGGACGGCAGCACAGAGAAGCUUGCUUCUUGGGUGGCGAGUGGCGAACGGGUGAGUAACACAUCGGAACGUACCGAGCAGUGGGGGACAACUAAUCGAAAGAUUAGCUAAUACCGCAUAUAUUCUGAGGAAGAAAGCAGGGGACCAUUUGGCCUUGCGCUGUUGGAGCGGCCGAUAUCUGAUUAGCUAGUUGGUGGGGUAAAGGCCUACCAAGGCGACGAUCAGUAGCGGGUCUGAGAGGAUGAUCCGCCACACUGGGACUGAGACACGGCCCAGACUCCUACGGGAGGCAGCAGUGGGGAAUUUUGGACAAUGGGCGCAAGCCUGAUCCAGCCAUGCCGCGUGUCUGAAGAAGGCCUUCGGGUUGUAAAGGACUUUUGUCAGGGAAGAAAAGGGCGGGGUUAAUACCCCUGUCUGAUGACGUACCUGAAGAAUAAG